GAGUUUGAUCCUGGCUCAGAACGAACGCUGGCGGCGUGCUUAACACAUGCAAGUCGAACGUGAUCCAGAGCUUGCUCUGGUGAAAGUGGCGCACGGGUGAGUAACGCGUGGAUAACCUGCCCUGGUAUCUGGGAUAACAUCUCGAAAGGGGUGCUAAUACCGGAUAAGCCUACGGGGUCCUCGGACUCUGCAGGAAAAGGUGGCCUCUAUUUAUAAGCUACCGUAUCAGGAUGGGUCCGCGUACCAUUAGCUAGUUGGUGGGGUAAUGGCCCACCAAGGCGACGAUGGUUAGCUGGUCUGAGAGGAUGAUCAGCCACACUGGAACUGAGACACGGUCCAGACUCCUACGGGAGGCAGCAGUGGGGAAUUUUGCGCAAUGGGGGAAACCCUGACGCAGCAACGCCGCGUGAGUGAUAAAGGCUUUCGGGUCGUAAAGCUCUGUCAGAGGGGAAGAAAUGAGUCUGGCUAAUAUCCAGAUUUCUUGACGGUACCCUCAAAGGAAGCACCGGCUAACUCCGUGCCAGCAGCCGCGGUAAUAC
rnacentral:rRNA from 1 species